AAGAACAUACAAAUCAGUCAACAAGGGAGCUGAAAUGCUCCUUGUAUUCUUUGUAAAAAUAAUACUUUAAGGUUCGUUGCAAGAGCGCUGGUCCUCUGUUUCACCAGGCAUCUUAUUUUCCUUCAUUCACUGCCCAGUGCUGCCCAACUUGCACCUGGUUUGACCAGCACUCAGCUGCCUUCUGGGGUUCUCCCUGUCUUCUUCCCCAUCCCCCAGACUCUGGACAGCUGCACAACCGUGCUUUCUUUACUUAUAAAAGCAAGCUUGUGACAUCCCUUGCUUGAUUCAGUUACAAACGGAAUUAAUUGAAAUCAAUUCAACAGGCGCGGGCUCGGGGGAGACGUGGAGAGGGGAGUGGGACUGUCUUCAGGGAGCUCACAGUCCACUAGGGGUGUAAGACACAGCCAACGCCAGCGCCAGGGAACACGCCCUUCCUGUGACAGACUAUUAUGGAGGGGAGAAAAGAUGGUUGGAAUUGCCUCUGAUUCUGUCUAAUUCAGAUCCCAUCCAAGAGGAGUGGAAGACACGAGUCCAGAGAGAAGCAGAGGUUCUUGUAAAACCCUAAAGCUAGAAGGCACCUCACCUUGACCUAAGUGAGCACCUUCCCUACAGGGAGGGGAGCUACAGAAGGUAGAGAUGAUGGCCCAGAAUGUGGCCCUCAGGCAAGAGAGGGCAGGGGGAAGCCAGCGUCCAGCAAAGGCCCCAGAGUGGGGAGAGGAAAUGUGGACAGACCCCUCCCCAGCACGGGAGAGUUAGAUCAGAAGGAAGGGGGACCAGAGAGACAUGAAGGCGAGGCUGGCGGGGUCUUUCACAGACCUUUGAGGACAUUUGAGGACAUUAGGUUGGAGCCAUGGAAGGAAAGAUGGUGAAUUUAGUUUUUUUAAAAAUUAUUAUUAUUAUUUUAUUUACUUUGCACUUUGACAGUACUAGUGACCACCAGGUAGAUGAUUUAGGAAAUGGUGUUCACGUUCGUUCAUGGUUUCUGCUGUGUUCCUGCACUAGGGUUGAUUAAUAAUCCCUUCUCUAACUUAAAUUGGAGCAGCAUUUUUAAGCCACUAAAUAAUAAUAUCUUACAUAUCAGGUGGGGAUUUAAUAUUUCAAACAGUAGGUGGGGAUUUCUAAUUUGGACUGCUUCUGAGAGGGUGGCCAUGUGUGGUGUGGGACAGCAGCCACGAGUGGGGGACGUGCCUUGGUGUGGCUGCUGUGGGCUCCAUUGGCAACAGGCAGAGCAGGAUGGAGGUCGUCAGAGGGCAACGCGGAGUGGCUCUCGGCUUCUCUUUGGGGUCACCUUCCAGGACACGUGCUUGGCCUUGAGCAGAAGACGAGGCACUCCACAUGUGCCCAGGUCCAGUUCUGGGCUAUGGGUUCUAAACUGAGGGGUUUGAUUGUUCUCAUUCACUUUUAUUCUCAUAAAUAGUUUUGACCAUUGAAGUCCAGUCAGAAGUAGAAAAUAGGUCAUUUUACCUAAAGAAAGCAAUUCACACACAAGCAAGCCUGAAUUUAAAGUCCCUUGGGCUGCUGGGCAGGACUUUAGGCAAGCUCCAGGGGGACCCUUGGCCCUCGGCAGUUCUUCCGGGGCUCUUUGCUCUACAGCCCAGGCCUUUCCUGGGGCUCUGCCUGACCCAGGGCAGCCUUGGCACUGAUCAGGUUGCUCCCUGACCUGUGUUCUCACUGCAGAAACUUUACUUUUGAGCAUUUGGCUCAAGGCAGACUGCUGCUGCCAGGGCUCGUCUUUACAGCUGUCCUUACGAAGAGCAAAUGCACAGAUGAAUUAUACUGCUUUGUGGUGUUACCGGAUCUAACCUACAGAAGUAAGUGACGGGCCACCUGGGAGCCUGACUACUCGAGCAUGAACUGAGCAGCAGCCAACGGAUGCUGCUCCUUGGCCAAUAGCCAUGAAGCCCUGACCUCAGCUACCUGGCAGUUGAGGCUGCUCAGUCUGGCCUUCCAUGCCCUCCUGGGCCUCCUCAAUUCCAGAGUGCCCUCCUGGCCCACCUCCUGCAUAUCUCUUCUCACCCCAGCAUGCCCUACUCAUCACCCCUGCGCACUCCUGGGCUAGGUCUACCUUCAUACCUUCUUGGAUUACUUUCCUGAUCUCCGACAGCUUCCCUGGUCAUUCAUUCUUUCUUCCCUCGUUGAACAAAUAGGUGUGGGAAAUGCCACAUACACCUGCCACUCGGUUUCCUGGCUACAUCUUCUACACUACUCUAUCCAUUCUUCAAGAUCUGUUUCCUCCACAAAUCUUCCUUCACUGCUGAGGACCAGCAGAAUCCCUCUCUCUCUGGUCUUACCACACUUCUGCAAAGUGGUUUGGAUUCAGGGUCAAAACCCUCAUACUAGAUGGCACUGUCAAUCUGUGACCUUGAAACAGUCAAUCAUCAUAUAUCAGUUUCAGUUUCCUUGUAGAUAAAAUAAGUGCUUGCACCACAAGUUUACUGGUCAAGUUUAAAUGAGAUAUGUCAAAGCUCCGUGUUUACAUGACAAAUGACUAUUUAAUGUCUAUGUUGAUAUUUAAAUCUGAAUUUUUGAAAUUUUGCUAAUUACUUUGAAAUUUUUCUUUCCAAUGAAACAUGUUGAAUAUAAAAAAAGCCGUACUAAAAGCAGACACCACACAAAACACCAAGACCUUUUGGGGGGAUGACCAUGAGUCCAGUGAUUGCUUCAGCAGCCCAGAAAUUAGUGGUGAGACUGUCACCACCGAAGAAGAAAUGGCAAUGACUCUCCCUUGUUUAGACUGAUUUUAGAUAGAAAGACAUUCCAUGUAAGAUGGAAUUACAUCGUGUUUUCUCUGAAAUAAGAAUAAAGUGGAACAAACUACGGACUUAAGCCAAGCCUUAAAAGUGUUAGAAAUUUCUUUAGUAACUUCCAUCCAUCAACUAAUUUUAUAAUCAGAAAUUUUCAGAAGUGAGCAAGAGCAAGCACUUAGCCCCUGGUGGAAGCAGCGGGUUCUCUACCUGACAGUGGAGCGCGCAGGCCUGGAAGAACGGCCACUUUCUGCUGAAACUACCAGAGGAAGGCAGGAGCACCUGUGGAUGCUUGAGCCUCAAGAUGAAGCCACUGGAGGAGAGGGACGAGCUUCCGUGCAGCCAAGCCUCACAGCUUUUUGCAUUAAAAAAAAAAGGGCCUCUCCGUUUCUAAAGAAGAAACGUAGCAUUUAGAACUUAAGCUUUUUUUUUUUUUUUUGGUAUUAAGUCCCAAGUGGUGAAUCUCUGUAACGAUAUUUUAUCAACCUGAAAAUUCAACUUGUAACAAAUGAAAAGUAAAAACUUUAAUUCUAUAAGAACAGAAGAAAUGCAGCCUUUUUAAAAGAAAGAGCUCUAUCAACUCAAAUAGGAAUUGUCACAUGUAAUUUUAUCAAAAUUCACUUGUAUUACAUGAGUGCUUUAUUUUUGAAUGGUAAUUUAAAAGACACCAGAGAGACUGAAUUGCACAAGACUCUGAGUGAUUAUAGAAUGCUGAAAAUAUCAGGCCUGGCCCUGGUCCUCCCACUCGUCUGUGUUGCAUCUGUGGGCUGCUGUGGGGACUAUUGAGAAGCCAGGCCUGGGUCCUCAGAGCAUCACCCCAGGGAGCCUGGGAACGCACACACUGCGUUAGUGUUUCCCGCAGGGACGAUCACGUUUGGUUGCAUGUACAGAGAAUCCAGUGUAACACUGGCUUAGGCAAGACAGAUGUUUAAUAUUUUCUUCUGCAAAAAAAAAGGCUGGGAGGAAGCAAUGUGGCUAUUAGCAAGUCCAAGGGCUUGAUGAAGUUGUAGGAGAAUCAGAUUUCUACUUUUUAACAUAAAUUUCCUGAAUGUGUCUUCUGUCUCAACAUAAUUCAUAGCCAAAGGUGGCUGCUGGACCCUCUACCUUCUCAUCUGUGUUCCAGACUAGAGGAAAGACAAAGGGCCAUGACUUAAUCAGUUCUCCCACACCACCUGUAAGAGUAGCUGAGAGCCAAGCUUGUUGCUGAGGGCAGUGUCCUCAGCCACUUGGGGUGUGGUCACUAGGGGACAAGGGCAGAAUGGGUACUUCCCACGCUCAGAUGCACCUAAACAGGGAGGGAGAGACAGGAGAUCCUGCUGUCCUCUCCUGCCUCUUGCUCCAGACAGGCCUCUGCCUUCCGUGUGACUGUCUGUCCGGGUUGUGGAGCCUGGAAACACAGACCCCCAGAGCUGUUCUGAAGCACCAGCUAGUGAGCCUGUUUAAAGUGUCCGUGGGAACGAGAUGGGCAGACUUGUGCCUCUGGUGGACAAAUAGCCAGGCAGGGAAGAAGGUAUUGAGCUUGAACUGGGUGACUGGGUAAGCGGGGCACAGAAGCACAUGCUGAUGCAGGGCACUUUGAGAGGAGCCUAAGCUCGCCCAGGGUCUGUGGACGGGAUUCCUCUUGGAAGAAGAGGAAGAACAAGGCCGAGUCGCUCUCCCAGCAGAAUUCCCUCUCCUAAUUGUUUUCCCUGAUGCUUUUAUGCCCCGCCCAUCAUAGUCUCUCAAAAGAGGGUUUCUGACCCAAACUGCCUGUCCAUCUGAGCCCACUUUAAGGUUUCCAGGGUUGGCUUCACAUGGACGCUCCCCAGGCCCCUUAGAAGGUACCACAAUUCACUGCUGAGGGACACAGGAUACCUGGCAGCGUCUGGUUGCCUCAUGCUGCCUGGGCACUGGCUGCACUGUCCCACCCGCGCAGUUUCUACCGCUGCCCUCGUUCCGUCUCUUAUUUUUUGUCUUGGACUCAGCAAUAGGCUCCAGGCUGGCCUGCCAACCCCACCCGACUCCCUAACCGCCCCCCAAGUGGUGCACACUUGUGAUGAUGUUCCUGACUUGUCCGCUGUGUUCCAAGGAAGCAUGGUCCUGGACUUCUCAGGGCACACCCGUCGCUCCUCCAGUCUGUGCCGUGGGUCUCAGCUGCAAAUUGUUGCUUAAGUUCAGAGACCAUUUACACAGUUUCUCAGGCUAGAAUGUGUUUCUGCUAUCUCCCCAGCAUGCGAAGUCCAGGCGAAAUGUUUUAUAAAACCUUCUCCCUUCAGUGAAACCAGGCCCCAGGAACUCCAUCAAGACCCCUUCCUGGAGAGGAAGGACUGCAGUGUCCAUAAGGAGAGGAGUUUUUCCUUUUUUUAAUUUUUUUAGCUGUAGAUGGACCCAACAUCUUUAUUUUCUUUCUUUAUUUUUAUGUGGUGCCGAGAUGGAGCCCAGUGCCCCCCGCGUGAGACCAGCGCUACCGCGGAGUCACAGCCCCAGCCCGAGGAGAGGAGUUUGUCUGGACUCCUCCCGCUUCCCUCUCUUCUCUCUUUCCUUCCUCUCUCUCUCUCUUUUCAUUUCCAGCUCCAUGGACAGUGCCUUUAGCCUGGUGGGUGGCCAGUAACACUAAGUGAGUAAAUAAAUGAUCAUCUAAAGAAACAGAGCAGGAGCCUGCUGCCUGUGGCGCGCACCCUCUCUGCCUGGUGGUGCUUCCCUAUGUCCCCACUAACAGGACAAAGUGUGACUGACUAGGUAGAGGGAAGUUUCACCCUUUAUGACACAGACUAGAGAUUGGACAACUCUAGGAAGAGAACCGUGAGGUGUUGGCACAUCUGGCCCGAUAUCACCCUGUGUCCAGGAAAUAACGUCACGUGUCCAGCUUGCUGCCCGAAGACACCGCGGCUGUUCAAGCGAAGGAGGGCUGUCCAGUACGCAGGCUCACAAAGGGGCCCUGGCCGGCGGGGGAGCUAAGAGGCAGCAGCUGACAUUUACCAUUACUCCUAACAGAUGGGUUGUGAUUUCCUUGAAUAAGGUUAUUUUGACUUAGAAACCUAAAUCUCUGAAUUAGAUAAGUGCUCAGAAAAAACUGAAACAGACUUUUUACCCAGGCCACGGGCUAGAGAACUGAAACACAAACUGUGCUUUAAACCAGGAAUGAGUCUAGUAUCUGAAAUUGGACAUCCUAACAUGAAAAGCACCGUUUAUCUUCUGUUCCACAAUGACCCGGAAGCGAAGUGUUGGGUUAUAAGUGCCAAAUGCUGGGAUCCAUCAGUGGAGAUUCUGCCCCAGGAAGCCGGGACGUCCCUCCUGCUGUAAGGGUGUCGCUCAGCUUUCACUUGGCUCAGUGCUCCUUUAUGUGUCAUAGUGUGAUGGGCCAGGGCACAGUUUGCGCUUACAUGCGCUGUGACUCACAUGUGCUCCUUUCUCACUCCCUAUGAUGAACUGUGGCAACAGUUCAGCGGGUUUCCCCACACCUAGAGCUGUCAGGAAACCUGUGGGCCAUUGGAGGCCCUCUGAGCCUUCCAUCAGGAUAAUUGUUACCACAACUCCUCAAGAGUGACAGCAUGGAGCCUGGUGGUGUCGGGGGUAUUCUUUAAGUACAGCCCUCUGACUUCACAGGCAGCCCCUUCCCUACAAGCCAACUCAAAUGCAUGCAUCAUCUACAGGCAAACCGUGAUUGCUUUGAAAUACAGCUGCUAGAGGAGCCUCCCUGGCCCCAUCCAACCAGAUGGCCCCUCAAAGAAAUGUGGGAGCUGACAGUGUCACCCAGGCUUUCACUCUCCUGUCCCCAACUGUCUUAGAAGGCCAGAUCUCAGCUAUGCAGAGAAUAUCAGUGACGUGCCCCUUCCUCCCAGGGUGAUGGUAACCAUUCCCGACAGGCACCGAGUUACAGGUUAGGAAGCAGGAUAAGAGACUAGGAUAAUUGCACCUAGUGAAGAUGAAGGAAGGGACAAUAAAUAGUUUCAAACUGCACAACACAGGUAUGCAGCGACACAGCCUUGUAGGAAAGCCUGGCCCACCCGGGGGGCAUUCCGUCCUGCCGCUCACUAGCUGUCCUUUGAGCCUCUGUUUGUCCAUCCAUCAGAAGGCAAGAUGAGCUCCCGCCUGCCUUUGCUGUGGGGAGUAGCUGGCACACUUGAGGUGCAGUGCCUCCCAGAGGAGGUGCCAGGGCAGCAGCAGCAUUAGCAGCAGUGACAGGAGCGACAACACCCAGGACAAGGAAGGUGGUGCCCCGCUGCUCCUGCCAUGAACGCGAAUGGAGAAAGGAGACCCUGGCAAACCCUACGCGAGGGUUACUCAGAACACAGGAGGUGACUCCUGAGUGUGGUGGGUGACAAGCUCUGGAGAAGUCUGGGAUUCUUCUGUAAUGGCCCUUAAAACAGAGACCCCUUUCACCAGGGGGCACUGGCCAUGGUGUGGAUGGCCUGAAGGCAGCGAGAGUCGGCUGGCCUCCUAGGUGCCUCUCUGCACUUUUCUCAUAUUCAGUAGAUAAGUGUCCACGACCUAUGACCAGCCGCUGGGAACCUGAAGUUUUAAGUCACAUUCAGAAUUUCGGAAUUUCUCUCUGUACUCAGACUGGAAAACAGCUUGACCCUGUAUAGUAACCACAAAAGGAUAUUUUACGUAAGAGAUCGUUUCCAGGUGAAUAGAACUACUUGAAAGAUGGAUGGCUGCACACUCCUGAGUCAGGCGUUUGUUGCUUGAGCACUUUGGAGCUUCUGCCUGGGUUGCCCAGGUUGCUCUUCAGGUACUCCUGGGAGCAACGCUGGCCACUUGUGUCCCAGCACCCAGCACCCAGCACCCAGCACGCCCGCAGCACACAGCGAGGCCUUCAGGUGGGAGAACUGACAGUGACACUCUCCCCUCCCACGAACCAUCAGAUACAAGUGAAAGCUGGCACACACCUGCCGAGGUGCCAUGCUGGCUUCUGGUUUUAUUAAAAGGAAAGCACCAACCGGAAUUACGACCCCACCAACCCGAAAUUGGCAUGCAAGUGUGGCAGAUAGGAGAGCAAAAUUACUGAAGAUUCUGAAGGAAGGAAGGGCGGCCUGAUCCUGGCACAGGAUGGGAAGCCUGGCGACGCUGGGGAGAGAGAAACUCACCACAUCACCAAGGAGAAGACAGCAGCAACGUCAUGUUUCUAAAACGGGACAUGGCAUCUUUGUGACCAGGGAUCCAGUGAGCCACAGUCUAGCCUUGGGUCAGGAAGAUCAGGGCUAAUGCUUCUAUUCUGAGGAGCAACUGCUUUUGGAAACUCCAAAGCUACCUAUUAUUUUUGACUUUUUUAUUGAUUCAUAAUUGGAAUAGAUAUUUAGAAUUGUGAAAAAAUUUAGUGAGAAUCUAGAUCACUCUAUUUUUUAGUUUCAAAGUAACUUCUUCUGAUUAUAUUGCACAUGGAAGAGGCGUUAAACAAAGAGGAUAAAGAGAAAAACACAAUCACUACUGACCACCCUCCCCAGGAGCAGCCACAGCUGCCAUGUGAUUACAUCUCCCAAACACACAUCCUAAUGCACAGUUAAGACUACACUGUAUAAGUUUUUAUACCUUGUUUUUUUUUUACUUAAUUUUGUAUUGUGAUGAUUUUAUCAUGUCCUUAAAUAGUCUCUACUCAUUUAAAUAGCAACAUAACCUUCCGUCAUAGGAAUAAAAUAUAAUUUUAUUUAUAAAUCAAAUUCUAUAAUUUUCAUAUAGGUGAGCAUUUAACAUUUUUUCACUAUUAAAAACAGAUUCACAAUAUCUCAGUACUUGGAUCUCUUUCCAUUUUUAUUUCCUUAAUUUUCAUACCUAGCAUUAAAGUGAUUCAGUAAAGUUUGGCAAUGUUUUGCAAUCUAAUUGGCAUAUAAAUUUCUGUUCUACAAAUUAGGAUUGAGCCCAAAGAAGACUGGGAUUUUCGGGAAGUCAUAGUUCUAGGGCUAGGAGUGUCCCCUGCAGCCUGCUCCCGUUCCCAAGCUCAGAGCGCGCUGUACCCCUGGGGAGCUGUGAGAACCAAAGUAUGCCACAUUCUUCUUCCCAGAAGACCUACUGUGCAGGAUUAGGAGGCACUCUCAGAUAUUGAGUGUGCUAGUGUGUGUGUGUGUGUGAGUGUGUGUGUGUGUGUGUGUGUGUGUACAAAUCAAAAUCAUCCUGUGACCUGGGUCAAAGAGAGAUGCUCUGGGGCAGCUUGGUGUUUACCCUGAUGUCUAAGCAAAAUGUAAUUUCUGGCAAUUAAAGUAACAAACGCCCAGUUCUCUUUCUUGUAUUUUUGGUUACUUCUAUUUAGAGAAUUGUGUGUGAAGUUGGGGUCAGUUUACUUUGGGUGAGGGGGUAGUAUCUUCCCAGCUGAUUAAGGUAGGGUUAACUGCAAUCCUCUGAUGCUGGCUACAACUUUGAGACAUUAAAAAGCACUUUGUAAAUUUUAAGUAUGUUCCAAAAGGCAAAUGGCCUUGUUCUAAAAUGAUGACUGUGGCUUAAUAAAGCGUAGAAGCUGAGAGCUUCCUGGGAUCAUAAUGAAAAAUACCUCGUGUUUGGAAGAUAAUUUUGCCAUUUGCAUACUUACUGGGGCCCUGGCUGAGGAGAGGACCAAGGGCAAGUACAACCUCACUUGGGGCAGGUCCAUUAUCUUUGCAUGACAGGUUGAUGGACUUCUUAUUUAUUUUGAAAUAAAAAUGACACCUUGGUAGUCUGUGGUGGCUACCCAACCCCUCCCCCUUGUCAUGGGGAAGCUGCUUUCCCACACUUGGGGUGUCUCAGAGCAGGGCUAACCCUCUGGGCUGGCUGUGGUCAAUGUUCAACAAGGAACUCAAAACCCAAGGGCUCAGCUCCUCCAGGAGGGCAGAGUCCUUCCUCAGUCUGCAUCUCUCUUCUCCUUUUGUCACUCGGAUUGCCUGUCACUGCCAGAGGGCCGCAGCUCCCCGCACAGCCUCACCCCCUCUCCUGACAAGCUGGGGGACAGUUAUUCUUGCCCAGGCCAAUCUGCAUUUGAUAAGAGCAGUGAUUGUGCUUUUAUUGAUAUACCGUUGGGAGCAGACAAGAUCCUUUCUGUAGGGCCGCAGACUGGGUGAUCUUAGGCAAGUUGUUGGUUUAACUUCUCUGAACUUCAGUUUUCUCCUUUGUGAAAUGGGAACAGUAAUAAUGCCUCACUGCAGCUGAGAUACACUGCCCAGGGCACAGCUGGUCGCUGCCAGCCGUCCUCCGCUCUAGGCAUCCUGGUUGUUCCUGCGUGGAACUCCUCCUGCGAUCCGCAUUUUCCUCUUAUCUUCACUACUGGAUGUCAGCCUUCUUUAUCUUUCUCAAAAAUUCUUUCAACACUGCAUUAUAAUGACUGCUUUGUCAACCAUACGACUUAUCACUGAAUGGAUUCUUAACGUAGUCACCAACAUGUUCUACUUGGCUUUAAAAAUUAUGGUUGAACCUGCAUUUUUGAUCUUUCAAAACAUCCAAACCAAAUUAAACCAACUAUCUUAUGUUUCACCAAAAAGCAAGUCUGGGGCUGGGUGUGGUUCAGCCUACCAUGUGCGAGGUCUGGGUUCCAUCCUACCACUAAAAAAAGAGGAAAGAAAAAAAAAGCAAAUCUAAUCAUUUCUUAGAACUUUGCAAUAGAGGUAAAAUUGCCUAGCUUCUAUAGUUUAUUUGAUGAAUUGACAUUUAGGAGUGAUGUUAUCAAGUAAUAUGAGAUUUCUUGAUAGAUACAGGCUACAAAUGAAAAGGAAUGGGAGAAUGAGAGGAGAAAUACAAAGAAAGGUUUAAGUGGUUAAAAACAAAAAAUAGGAACAGGAGCCAACCUGUAGGUCAGAGGCGAGGCUUAGAGUCGGCUUCAGAAAAGUGGAUACAAACCCCGAUGCAUGGAAUGUGCACAUUGAACAGUGACUAGUGACUGCUGGGAUCAGAGGUCGGGCACACAGGAGUGUCUCCACUAAAGGGUGUUUUUACUGAUCUCCAGGUCACAGGUGCGAGAAGCACACUUGGAACUCAAGGCGAGGUCACCUGGGGCAGAGGGUCCUAGGGCGCAGCAGAGGAAGGCAUCCUGGAGCGAGGCGGAGGGCAGUGCGGUGCCCAUGGGAGCAGAGGGUUCUGGGUGGUGACGGAAACCCGGGGUCGCCGCCUGGUGGAGUUGAGAGCUCGGGCACAGGACCCUUCUCUGAAGGCUUCCACAGGGAAGUGUCCUUCUUCAUUAGCAGUCUCAGGUGGCCAUUGCCCUCUCCCUCUCCCCAGGACAACGGCCUUCUUUCCUGUGUGGGCUGAAUAGGAGCCCCCUUCCUCCAGAAUUCCUAGAGUAAGUCCUAACUCCCAUCCCUCAACUGUGGCUGUAUUGGGAGACAGACUGAUAAAAGACAAAAGGGAGCCGAGGGAUGGGCCCUUCAGAAAGAGGUGAGGACACAGGACUCAGACUGAGGGACAGCCAUUCGGGGACACAGAAGGAAGGUGGCCAUCUGCAAGCUGGGGAGAGGUCUCAGAGGAAGCCAUCCCUGAUGGCACCUUGCCCUUGGACUUCUGGAACUGAUGUUGCUGAAGCUGCCCAGUCUGCCGUGCUCUACCCUGGCAGCCCUCUCUCACAACCCCAAGGCCCGCCGGCUGCCCUACCGACCCAGCUGCUGGACAGCAUGUGGCUUCUGAGUCCUUGUCAGCUCCUUCCAGCACAUCUAGCAUGCCCUUUGCCACAUGUUAAUUCCUAGUCGCGAUCCUCAAACCUGGAGCUCAUGAGAUAAUUCCUCUGCCACUGGAGCACAGCUCACAGCGCCUGAAGUGGGGCCAAAUCCGAGUUCCCAACACCUUCCACUGUUCCUGGCCAGUCGCCACUGUGUCCAGCCUGUGGCCCUCCCACAGCUGCGUGGCUCAUCAUGAGGCACAAUUGCACGCCUGCUCUUCUGCUCUUUAUUUCAUCUGGAAGAUCACGAUACAUGCCCCUGCAGCCACCAGCGCCACACUUCCUCUGGCUGAGGAAGGGGCUUCCUCCCCUCUCUAGACUAAGUUCCUGAGUACAGAGGUGGAUCCAGCCGUUGGGUGUAGCUCAGUGGAAGAGUGCUUGCCUUGGUGCUCAAGGCCCUGGGUUACAUCGCAGCAGGAAAAACAUGUUCAAUUCAUGUACUGUGGUUAACUUCAUCAUAACUCAGGGUGGAACACAGUAUGUCCCAGUCACCACAGUUUUUAUUAAUAAAAUCUCAGCUGGGAUUAACCUUUCAUUCCAACCAAUGCUGCUUCCCAGAGAAAUUGGUAAUUAAUAACAAAAUUGGGACUAUAUCUACCCUCUUUCCUCCUGAGUUUCAGAAGAAAGAAGAAAGGAGUGCAUGUGCUAUCGCACCACAUUAGCUGUAGAGCAGGCAGCUCUCAGCCCAAUGUCAAGUCCGUUUGCAGCUGGUGCAGUCAGGCAGUAACCUUCAAACUUCCAGGCUGUAAGUCAGUCACAUUUUGUGCUAGAAUAUUAUGACCACAACCUCCAGUGCUCUGUACAAGUCCAGAGAGGAAAAGAGCCACAGAUAUCUAUUAUCAGUGUAGGCGACCAGUACCCCCUGCAGGAUGCUUCCAGCACGGGUGAUGUGCAGCCUGACCGCCUGUCCUGCCAAGGGACAGCUAGAGCUCACAGGGUAAGUCGGACCUCUGAAAUGGACUUCUGGGCUUUUUUGGUAAAGAUGGUCUUCCCUCUUGUUCUAUUGAAAACUGCAGCGUAGUCUUAGACAUAGUUAUACUGAUAAGGAAGUAUAGCGAGGCCUCAUGGAAGUAAUGUUUUAAUUUAGUUGUGGUCAUACUCAGGUUUGUUUGUUUUUAAAAUUAAAAUAGAGGUUUAAGGGGCUGGGGUUGUGGCUUAGCGGUAGAGCACUCGCCUAGCACAUGUGAGGCACUGGGUUAGAUACUCAGCACCACAUAAAAGUAAAUAAAUAAAAUAAAGAUAUUAAAAUAAAAUAGGGGUCUAAGACAGAAUCCAUUCAGUACCUAAGCAAGUGCCCUUUCUGAUUCCCAUAGGCUGUUCCAACAUCCUGCUAUGGACCUUGACUUGUAGUCACACAAAGGGCAAAGCCACCACAGAGAACGCUUAAGGUCAAGUUCAAAGACAGUGUACAGGAAUGUUAAAACAACCAAUUUAUGAACUUGAUGUCAAAGGAACAAGUACUGCAUUCAGUUGGGAGGCUAUGGGAUCAAUACUGGAGAAAGUAACUACAAUAAUUUUAAUGAAAAUAUUAUUAGUGAAAUAAUAAAAGGUUGGGUCUCAUUUAAAUAAUUUUGACAUGUACUAUUAUUGUAAAAAAUUGCUUUAGGGAGAGAGUGGGUUGGUUUUGAAGGGAGUGAUAAUGUCUAGAAUAUACAAGGAACUUAACAGCAAACAACAAACAAAACAUCAAAAAACCCAAAUAAUUUCAGCUAAAAAUGACCAAGAGACCUACAGAAUGUUUCUCAAAAGAAGACUAUGUCACCAAUAUUCAGGAAAAUGCAAAUCACAGCCACAGGAGAGAUCACAUUACUCCAGUCAGAAAGCCCGUUAACAAAGACAAUAAGGAGCCUGAAGGGUCUGGUGAGAGGGAGCUGGCACACGGUUGGUGGGAAGGAAAUUAGUGCUACCACCAUGAAAAAUAGUGUGUAAGUUCCCUCAAAAAUUAAAAAUAGAGCCACAGUGUGAGCUAGCAAAUCCACAACUGGGUGGCCUAAGGAAAUCAGAGACAUCUGCACUCCCACAUUCAUUACGGUACUGUUUACUUCCAAAAAAUGAGAUCAACCAAGUAUCCAUCAACUGAUGAGUAGAUCAGGAAAAUGUGGCCUGUAAACACAAUGGAGCACUGUUCAGCCAUAAAAGGGUUCUCCUGGCAUUUGUGAUGACAUAAGGAGAACAUGAGGUUAAGUGAAAUAAGCCAGGCACAGAAAGAUGGAUACCGCAUGAUCUCACCCAUAUAUGGGAUCUCAGGAUGGAUCUCAUAGAAGUUAAAGUGAUUCCCAGAGGCUGGGGACAGCAGGCAGGGCAGGGAAGACGGGUCAACAGGAGCUGAGUGAUAGCUGGGUAGAAUGAAGAAGGGCUGGAGGGAGUUCCAUGGCACAGUAAGGUGACUACGCAGAUGACGCACUGUGUGUUUCCAACACGCUAGAAGAGAAGACUUUGGAUGUUCUUACCACAAAGAAGUGACAAACACUGAGGAGUAGAUGUCCUUGACCUGAUUUGAAUGUUAUACAGUCUCUACAUGUCCCUACCAUCACAUGGCACCCAGAAAGAUCUACAGUCAUAUGGGGUAAUUAAAAAGUGAAUAUUUAAAAAACUAAACAAAGAGGAGUGUCUUGAAAAAUUUAAACUUUGGAGUUUUGAGAGGAAUUCUGACAACGUAUUAAGUAAACCUAGCCUUUGAUUUUAUGGCAAACUUUGUCAUUUAUAACGUUUUUUCUAUUUUAGAAAAAUCAUAGCUUUUUCCAUAUAAUCGUGAUCAAAAUGGUACAAUUUGCCCUUAAAUUACAUUUAAACGCAUCAUAUCUGUUCACUUUCUCUAGGUUUAUAAAUUUUAAUAUGAAUGCUGUUGACUUAAGAAGAUUCACAAGUAGAAGGAGGUAGAAGAACUUUUCAUCUGUAAACUAACACUCUGUUAUUCACUUGUGUCUCCAAACAAUGCCAGGGCGUAUGCCAACUUGGGAACCCUCAGAAGGAGGGGCAGACCAGCACUACUCAUGGCUGUGUGAGCUGCAGGCCUCUGGCACUUCUGAGUCAGUCGAGUGGGUCUCUGAAAAACGGACAGGAUUUUCACGUCUCAUCAACAACUGUAAAAAGGCCUUGUUGAAUACAGGAAAUAAAAACUCCUAUAAGUAGUCAUAAAGCUUAGUCAUAAUAACGGCCAGCACAACCCUUGGGUUGCCUCCUUUAGGAAGACAGGCAUCGGAAUGGACUGAGCGUCAUGCUUUGUAAGCUAAGGGGAACAACGAAUGGCAGGGACCCUCAGGCCAGGGAGUGCUCACUGUUAGCCGCAUUGUCACGUUGACACACACCCUGCUCAGGAGGAGCUGUGAUUUCAAUUUUUGGGAGUCAUUAUUAGAAUUUCUUUUCUGAUGAAAAAGCUUAGAAAUCUUUAACAUGAAUCUGAUUUUCUCAUGUUUCAUCUCUAUUUUAGAGUUAAAAUUUAAGUUCAGUUUAAAGAACAUGGUUGACUAGUCUUGUUACAAAACAAUAAGAAAAGAAAAAAUAUUGUGUCAGAUCUGUAUUUUUGUCAACUUUUUGUACCCUUUCAGUCAGACACCAGAUAGUAGUAUGUAGACUAUGCUUAACCUAAAAUGGAAUAUUUUACAGUGACAUGCUUGGGAAACCUAUCCCCUACCAGCACAGAUGGCAUAAAAAUGCUUAGUGAUUCUUUUUUUCAGACUUCAUGUCAUGCUGUGGGAAGAUAUGGCUGAAAUAAAUACAUUUUAUUUUGCUUUGUGA